GAUGAACGCUGGCGGCGUGCCUAAUACAUGCAAGUCGAGCGAACAGACGAGGAGCUUGCUCCUCUGACGUUAGCGGCGGACGGGUGAGUAACACGUGGAUAACCUACCUAUAAGACUGGGAUAAAUUCGGGAAACCGGAGCUAAUACCGGAUAAUAUAUUGAACCGCAUGGUUCAAUAGUGAAAGACGGUUUUGCUGUCACUUAUAGAUGGAUCCGCGCCGCAUUAGCUAGUUGGUAAGGUAACGGCUUACCAAGGCAACGAUGCGUAGCCGACCUGAGAGGGUGAUCGGCCACACUGGAACUGAGACACGGUCCAGACUCCUACGGGAGGCAGCAGUAGGGAAUCUUCCGCAAUGGGCGAAAGCUUGACGGAGCAACGCCGCGUGAGUGAUGAAGGUCUUCGGAUCGUAAAACUCUGUUAUUAGGGAAGAACAAAUGUGUAAGUAACUAUGCACGUCUUGACGGUACCUAAUCAGAAAGCCACGGCUAACUACGUGC
rnacentral:rRNA from 1 species